UACGGGGGGGGCAAGCGUUGUUCGGAAUUACUGGGCGUAAAGGGUUCGUAGGUGGCUUGCUAAGUCAGACGUGAAAUCCCUCAGCUUAACUGGGGAACUGCGUCUGAGACUGGCAAGCUUGAGUGCAGGAGAGGAACGCGGAAUUCCAGGUGUAGCGGUGAAAUGCGUAGAUAUCUGAAGGAACACCAGUGGCGAAAGCGGCUUCCUGGUCCAGUACCGACGUUCAGGCACGAAAGCGUGGGGAGCAAACAGG
rnacentral:rRNA from 1 species